GUCUACGGCCAUACUACCAUGAACGCGCCCAAUCUCGUCUGACCUCCGAAGCUAAGCAGGGUGGGAGGAGACCCUUGGAUGGGAGACCCCUCUGCUUCUUGAGACA
ensembl:rRNA predicted gene, 23821